rnacentral:rRNA from 1 species
CAGCCGCCGCGGGAAUACGUAGGUGGCGAGCGUUGUCCGGAAUGAUUGGGCGUAAAGGGAGCGCAGGUGGGACGGUAAGUCCUUCUUAAAAGCGUGGGGCUCAGCCCCAUGAAGGGAAGGAAACUAUCGAUCUUGAGUGCCGGAGAGGAAAGCGGAAUUCCCAGUGUAGCGGUGAAAUGCGUAGAUAUUGGGAAGAACACCAGUGGCGAAGGCGGCUUUCUGGACGGCAACUGACACUGAGGCUCGAAAGCCAGGGGAGCGAACGGGAUUAGAUACCCCAGUAGUCCCUGUCUCUUAUACA